CCGAUAGCGUAUAUUAAAGUUGUUGCAGUUAAAAAGCUCGUAGUUGAACUUCGAGAUCGGCUUACUGGUCGUGCUUUUGUACGUACUGGUAAAUCGGUUUCUCCUUUCUGACGAACUUUAAUGCCAUUAAUUUGGUGUUUUAGGAAAUCAGGACUGUUACUUUGAAAAAAUUAGAGUGUUUAAAGCAGGCUCACGCUUGAAUACAUUAGCAUGGAAUAACGGAAUAGGACGUUUGAUUCUAUUUUGUUGGUUUCUAGGAUCGACGUAAUGAUUAAUAGGGAUAGUUGGUGGCAUUAGUAUUCAAUUGUCAGAGGUGAAAUUCUUGGAUUUAUUGAAGACUAACUACGGCGAAGGCAUUUGCCAAGGAUGUUUUCAUUAAUCAAGAACGAAAGUUAGGGGAUCGAAGACGAUCAGAUACCGUCGUAGUCUUAACCAUAAACUAUGCCGACUAGGGAUCGGAUGAUGUUAAUUUUUUAAUGACUCAUUCGGCGCCUUACG
rnacentral:rRNA from 1 species